UCCUCUCCUCUCUGUGUUCAUCUACUCUCAUACGUUGGUUGUGAUCUCCCCUGCCCCCAAACUCCUCAGAACCAUCCAAGACCCUCUGGGGGGGAGGAAUCCUCUUCCGCUACUAGAGUUUCUUCGCCGAGGAGGAGGAGGGGUUCCGAAGGAGGAAGGUGGCGGCGUCCAGGAAGCAGCUCCUCCCCCGCCAGCGGCGCCGCUCGCUUGCCCGGCUCCGGGUGCGCGCCGUGGGAGGGGGCGUGGACCGCUGUGUCGCCACCGGGAUCUAGGAGUUCGCGGAUGAGGAAGAUUUCAUCAAGGCGGGCGGGAGCGAGCGGCUCUUCGUCCAAAUGCAGGAAGGAAAGCCCAUGGAGAAGCAGGGCCAAAUCGCCGAAAAGGUUAUAUGGAGGAGGCAUGGAGCUGUAAGAUGCUAAAUAACCACUUGUUGGCCUUGGAGAUUGUAAUUCAGGAGCUGGUGAUUACAGUGGUGGUGACAGGUUCGACUUUGUUCAAGUAAAUAGCAGCAUGGAACCAGAGUGUUGGAUUUGAAUCUAGGCAAUGUGGAGGCUUCAUGUCUCUGCUGAUCAAAGGGCAAGGUUGUUAAUGUCAACUGAGAGACUCAACAAGUCUAGUGACAGGAUAAAGGAGAGCAUAAGGUCAACACUGGAGUCAGAAGAAGUUGGUGUUUCAGUUCUUCAAGGCUUGGAUCAACAAGGGCAACCUCUCUUACAUGCCCAUUUAACUGUAUGUUUCUGUGUUAAUCUUCUUGUUCUUAUGACAGCUUCAUGUACUUUUUUUCAUGGGUUAAUCUUUCAUUUUCAGUGCCAUCUGUAGUUUUUGUGCUUACUGAUGUGAUAACUAUUUCUUUUUUUGGGGUUCUCUUUUGGGACUUUUCCUAAUGGGAUGAGUGUGUUAGUACAACAGCAUCUGUUCAUAAGCUAAAUUUGGCAUCAUGGAUCUAGUCACAAGAUGGUCAUAGUUGGGGAUUUAUUUCUUUCAAUCAUAUUAAUCUUCCUUUGUCAUAUGUUUCGGCAAUAUCUGAAAGCUAAAAAGAGGAAAUAAGGUGUUCAUGGUACAAGGG